rnacentral:rRNA from 1 species
GACAGCAGCAGCCGCGGGAAUACAGAGGGUGCGAGCGUUAAUCGGAUUUACUGGGCGUAAAGCGUGCGUAGGCGGCUUUUUAAGUCGGAUGUGAAAUCCCCGAGCUUAACUUGGGAAUUGCAUUCGAUACUGGGAAGCUAGAGUAUGGGAGAGGAUGGUAGAAUUCCAGGUGUAGCGGUGAAAUGCGUAGAGAUCUGGAGGAAUACCGAUGGCGAAGGCAGCCAUCUGGCCUAAUACUGACGCUGAGGUACGAAAGCAUGGGGAGCAAACAGGAUUAGAUACCCGCGUAGUCCCUGUCUCUUAUAC